GAGAAACUGUGUAGCCUUCAUGCCCCCAGCGGAACAGAACCCGGCCCCCCUGGCCCAGCCAGAGCCUCUGGUGUGGGUCAGCAAGUGGGUUGACUACUCCAAUAAGUUCGGCUUUGGGUAUCAACUGUCCAGCCGCCGUGUGGCUGUGCUCUUCAACGAUGGCACACAUAUGGCCCUGUCGGCCAACAGAAAGACUGUGCACUACAACCCCACCAGCACAAAGCACUUCUCCUUCUCCGUGGGGGCUGUGCCCCGGGCCCUGCAGCCUCAGCUGGGUAUCCUGCGGUACUUCGCCUCCUACAUGGAGCAGCACCUCAUGAAGGUGUGAGGGCUGGGGCUGUGGUACAUUGAAAACUAACCCAACCUGGCUGGGUGCGGUGGCUCACGCCUGUAAUCCCAGCACUUUGGGAGGCCAAGGAGGGUGGAUCAUGAGGUCAGGAGAUCGAGACCAUCCUGGCUAACAAGGUGAAACCCCGUCUCUACUAAAAAUACAACAAAUUAGCCGGGCGUGGUGGCGGGCGCCUGUAGUCCCAGCUACUCGGGAGGCUGAGGCAGGAGAAUGGGUGAACCCAGGAGGCGGAGCUUGCAGUGAGCCGAGAUGGCACACCACUGCACUCCAGCCUGGGGGACAGAGCGAGACUCCAUCUCAAAAAAGAAAAAAAAAAAA
rnacentral:sRNA from 1 species